rnacentral:rRNA from 1 species
CCUACGGGUGGCAGCAGUGGGGGAUAUUGCACAAUGGGGGGAACCCUGAUGCAGCGACGCCGCGUGGGUGAAGAAGCGCCUCGGCGCGUAAAGCCCUGUCAGCAGGGAAGAAAAUGACGGUACCUGAAGAAGAAGCCCCGGCUAACUACGUGCCAGCAGCCGCGGUAAUACGUAGGGGGCAAGCGUUAUCCGGAUUUACUGGGUGUAAAGGGGGCGCAGACGGCGAUGCAAGCCAGGAGUGAAAGCCCGGGGCCCAACCCCGGGACUGCUCUUGGAACUGCGUGGCUGGAGUGCAGGAGGGGCAGGCGGAAUUCCUGGUGUAGCGGUGAAAUGCGUAGAUAUCUGGAGGAACAUCAGUGGCGAAGGCGACUAUCUGGCACAUAACUGACGCUGAGGAGCGAAAGCGUGGGUAGCAAACAGGAUUAGAUACCCGGGUAGUC